UACGAAGGGGGCUAGCGUUGUUCGGAAUUACUGGGCGUAAAGCGCGUGUAGGCGGAUUGUUAAGUCGGGGGUGAAAUCCUGGAGCUCAACUCCAGAACGGCCUUCGAUACUGGCAAUCUCGAGUCCGGAAGAGGUGAGUGGAAUUCCUAGUGUAGAGGUGGAAUUCGUAGAUAUUAGGAAGAACACCAGUGGCGAAGGCGGCUCACUGGUCCGGUACUGACGCUGAGAUGCGAAAGCGUGGGGAGCAAACAGG
rnacentral:rRNA from 1 species